rnacentral:lncRNA from 1 species
CAUCCAAUAAUGGAAGGGCUGUUUGUGCCUACAUAGUGCUGUCUGUAAUGGCAUUAACUGUCUGGUUCUCAUCUGGCUUGGGACUUUUAACUGUGCCAUUGAUAUCAAUCCUUCACUAGUAGUGGAAAACAAUUCUACUUGGAUAUGGUUGGUCCAUAGUAUUUUUUAAUAUACAAACCAUAGAACCUAUUUGUCUAGUCUUUCAAAAAUCUCCACUUUAAAAAGACAAUACCAUAGUGCCUACACUGAAAAUAAAACAUUUUAAAUGUGAAAAGAGAAAUGAGAGAAGCCAAAACUAAUUAUUUUUUACCAGAUAUGAGUGGGAUCACUAAAACAUGGAAGCAACAAAAGUACCUACACUUCUACCUCUACCUGACAAGAAAAUAUUGCAAGAUUACAAGCUAACCAUCACCUGGAAGGAAGAAAUGUUGGGCAUGGCACUAACUGAUGUGUAUAUUUACCGUGAAGUUUACCCCAGGUGAAAAGAGGAAGCCAGCUGUGUGAAUGGAAUUUGGAGAAAGGUAAUACCCGCUGGCCAACAAGAGAAAGAUCCAUGAAAUCUAUAUAGUCGUCCUGGAUAAGAGUUUGCCAAGAUUUCUGUAGACUUGGUCUUCCUUUCUACUCCUGGAAAAAUUCCCUUUAGGGCAGAGUUGAAGCACAUUUUAACAGAGUAGCACUUGCUCUUCUGCCUAUAUGCUGCCUAAGCAGUAGAUAAUCAGAAGUGCUCUGGGUUCCGAAUUCAGCUGCAACAAAAAUCACUUUUUAAACAGUUUGCUGUUGAGACACCCGAAUUACUGACUCACUUUGGAUGGCGUCUUCACUAUCUAGGAUAAAAGUGCUUUAAAUGCACUCUAUAGCAUAACCUAUAGUGAUAAUGCAGUAUGCCAUGUUAUUUACCACUU